rnacentral:rRNA from 1 species
GGGACACGUGGUAUCCUGUCUGAAUAUGGGGGGACCAUCCUCCAAGGCUAAAUACUCCUGACUGACCGAUAGUGAACCAGUACCGUGAGGGAAAGGCGAAAAGAACCCCGGCGAGGGGAGUGAAAAAGAACCUGAAACCGUGUACGUACAAGCAGUGGGAGCACCUUCGGGUGUGACUGCGUACCUUUUGUAUAAUGGGUCAGCGACUUAUAUUCUGUAGCAAGGUUAACCGUAUAGGGGAGCCGCAGGGAAACCGAGUCUUAACUGGGCGUUAAGUUGCAGGGUAUAGACCCGAAACCCGGUGAUCUAGCCAUGGGCAGGUUGAAGGUUGGGUAACACUAACUGGAGGACCGAACCGACUAAUGUUGAAAAAUUAGCGGAUGACUUGUGGCUGGGGGUGAAAGGCCAAUCAAACCGGGAGAUAGCUGGUUCUCCCCGAAAGCUAUUUAGGUAGCGCCUCGUGAACUCAUCUUCGGGGGUAGAGCACUGUUUCGGCUAGGGGGUCAUCCCGACUUACCAACCCGAUGCAAACUACGAAUACCGAAGAAUGUUAUCACGGGAGACACACGGCGGGUGCUAACGUCCGUCGUGAAGAGGGAAACAACCCAGACCGCCAGCUAAGGUCCCAAAGUCAUGGUUAAGUGGGAAACGAUGUGGGAAGGCACAGACAGCCAGGAUGUUGGCUUAGAAGCAGCCAUCAUUUAAAGAAAGCGUAAUAGCUCACUGGUCGAGUCGGCCUGCGCGGAAGAUGUAACGGGGCUAAACCAUGCACCGAAGCUGCGGCAGCGACACUAUGUGUUGUUGGGUAGGGGAGCGUUCUGUAAGCCUGCGAAGGUGUGCUGUGAGGCAUGCUGGAGGUAUCAGAAGUGCGAAUGCUGACAUAAGUAACGAUAAAGCGGGUGAAAAGCCCGCUCGCCGGAAGACCAAGGGUUCCUGUCCAACGUUAAUCGGGGCAGGGUGAGUCGACCCCUAAGGCGAGGCCGAAAGGCGUAGUCGAUGGGAAACAGGUUAAUAUUCCUGUACUUGGUGUUACUGCGAAGGGGGGACGGAGAAGGCUAUGUUAGCCGGGCGACGGUUGUCCCGGUUUAAGCAUGUAGGCUGG